GGCAGCGCUGGCCCCGGGGGGUGCCGCGGCCGCACCGGGGUAGCGCUGCGGGGGGCGAGCGGGCAGCCCCCAGACCCCCCCGCACGCUCGUGGCGGCCCGGGGGCCGAUGAGCUCGUCCCGGCCGUGAGCCGGCGGGGCAGAGGCGGCUGCAUCCCCUCAUCGCACCGUGCUGAAGCCCUCAGCGCCCCUCGCAGCCAGGACGAAGCCAGAGGUGGCACCGGGCGACGCGUGAAUGUACAGCAUACGUGUAUUCGAACCCUCGGCUCUCACCGCUGCCAGGAAGCAGUUGUGUUUGUUACCUGCGCAGCACCACAAUGGGGGCAACCAGAGCUGCAGACCUCGCCCCAGAAGAAGCACGGAUCACGAGGCAGAGUGCGGGCAGGGGAGGGCAAGGAAGGCACGGUCGGCUCUGCCCGGUUCCACAGCCAAAUCCCCCCUGGCUUCACCCAGCACCUCCUGCCCUCCGUUUUGCUGUCCUCGUCCACAGAGCAGCAAACCAGGGUGCUGGGAGAUUCAAGGGCUCUGCAGCCUGGUGCCGUGGGCUGGUUUUGUGCCACGUUCCGGAUCCGCUGCUGGCUGCAGGGUGAGUUACUGCACCUGCUAAUUCUGAGGACAGAAAUGAACGGCCUGGGCAAAGGAAGUGUUGAGAAGGGUUUUGCCAUUCCCCCGGGCAAGCGCAGCCGCUUGGAGAGCCUCAGCCUGGCAGUUGUCAUCAGAGUCAUUAAACAGAGCACCAGAAGCUGGCACAGACACCGAUCCAGGUCACUGGAACUGUGCUUCUGGCACGGAGCUCGCGCACUGGGUAGCGCGGGGCAAUCGCUGUGGAGAAUUAGGAGAAGUGUGCUGCAGGGAGCCCUUCCCUCCAAACGUCUGGGACAGCGCAGCUGGCUUCGCGAGGCUGAGGGAAAGCUGAUGUCAGCACGGACCUGGGCUUGCACAGGAGCCUGCGGCCUCUCGCCUGCAUUCCCUGCAGGUCUGGGGAUGGAUAGCACACGGCAUGGCUGCGGGCAAGGGCCCCGUGGUAGAACCUGCAGCAAGGGCACACACGGCGGCUUCAGCUGCCUCGGAGUGGGGCUGCCUGAGCCUCAUCUCCACCCCCCCGGACAAGCAGCAGGGCUGUUCCCAGAGUGAAUCACCAACAGUCAGAGGGCCUGAGAGCUCCUGCACCACAACAGUUCCAUUUCCCCUGGUCUUGACCCCAAGUCCAGGCUUUUCUGCUUUUUGUGGCGAUGGUGCAUACGGACACAAUAUUAAGAGCAAGGCAGGAAACAGCGGGUUUUGUGGAAAUCUCUCCGAAAGCGAGCGACAAGGUUACUUUUCUAAUUGAAUAAACAGCAUCUGCGCUCUGCUGGUCCUCUGAGC
rnacentral:lncRNA from 1 species